rnacentral:lncRNA from 1 species
GCAGUACCUCAGCUCUUGGUGAGCAUUGAGGGAGGGUCUUAGUGUAUCCCUGAGAGUCAGGCUUUCUGAGUCUUCACCUUAGCAACUGGAAUAUUUUUCUUGGAUUUGCUUGGACAGUUGGGAUUGGCUUUAUCAACACCCACUUUUCCUUUACUUCCUCUUUUACAUAUACAGUGUCAGAAGCAGUGAUUAGUGAGAUUUAAUGUUGGUAAGGAAAAAUAUCCAAUUAACUCAGUCUUUAAUGUCUGAUCUUCUAAAACAAAAGCAAGCUCUUUGUUUCCAAUUAAUCAAAAUCACCUCUCUAUGUAAGCCGGUUUGGAUUAUUCAGUUUCCUGAGUUUGCUAUUCAUUCAAAUCAUUUAUAGUUACUAUACAAGGGUUUAUGCGUACAUAUUACCUUUCUACCUCAGAACACAAGUGCUGCUGAAGCGCUCUGCAAGGCCGUGUUCUCACAGUGCAGUUCCAUUAGAAUCUAGGUAUUUCCCCAUGUGGUGAAAUUUAAUAGUUAGAAGCCUCCAAAUUCAAAGUUAAUUUACAGUUCAGAUCAAACUUAGUAUGGCUGUGUAAUCUCAUGAUAUAUAUUUGUAACUUUGUAGCUACUUUUAGAAUCACUUGACUUUGCUAUGGUGCUAAGUUGAUAGAUCUAAGUAUUCAGCGAGGUGGACAUUGCAACCGAUGUCCUAGCUGGGCGCCACCGCCCCAACAGCCCUGCUUCUGUCACCACGUUAACCUGUUAAACCUCAGCAGCAAAAAUACCUAUUUUUCUAAGAUUCCAUCAUCUGCCUGUCUGCACUGCAGACGGUUUCCUGAUGCCCUUCUGCCCUUUGGUCUGACCUGUAGCCUUACCUCGCUCAGAGAUGAAGCAGAGUGAGCUUGCGUCAGACGGAAGCUUCCGGGCGCCUUGUUUCACUCCUGCCAAGCUCCACGUGACAUCCAAGGCCGAAUUUUAUUUUUCCAGCAUGAACACUCGGAUCACUUAGCGAUUGGUCCUGUCGAGCUUUCUCAGCAGGCAGAGCUCCUGCGAAGUUGUUUUCAUGGCUGCCGAUGCUAGAAAUUGGGUGUGUCCAGCCGGCAGCUCUGGGACCAGCCUCCCAGCACGUGGUCUCGCGCAACACCAUUUUCACAAAAAUAGAAAACUCAGAUAGAAUAUAUAAUAUUGAAUUUAAGAUUUGGGGGGUUAAAAAAAGAAAACUUAACUUUAUAAAAUUAUUUAUUCUAUUUUAAGCCUUCUAUCAUAUUUUCCCAUCCAAUUGUUUGGUUUCCGUGGUCCAGCUUUAUUUACAGGCAUAUAAGAUAAAAUUGUGAGAUGUUUUGCAAGCUUCUUUUACUUUUUGUAGCCUUUGGUUUGUGUGUUUUUAUAGGGAUGAAGAGCAUUUUUAUGCUUUUGUGCAAUAGGUUCCAACAUACAUGGGUUUAUUAGUGUUUCAGUUGUGGUCCGGCAUCUACUAAAUUGAAAGGGAAUGUAGGUGGGAUUUCAGAAUCUGUGCAUUUGGCUGUUUGGUUUUGCCUUUUUCACUGUUGUUAUAAGAAUGCUGUUACUGGGAUUAUGUGUGUGUGUGCGCGCAUGUGAGAGAGAGGGAGUGUGUAUGUGCGUGUGUGUGUGUGUGUGCGUGAGUGUGUGUGUGUGUGUGUGUGUGUGUGUGUGUGUACUUUCUAUCAAUAUUAAAAGAUAAGCAUCCAGGCAGGAUGUGAUGAGGUUAGCACCAUCUUAAGCUUGCACCGAUGUGGUUGCAACCAAGUCCUUGAGCUAAGUCUGUGACUGAGCUACCCUGGGCUUGGGUUUCACGGUCUUCACCGGGUAGUGCUGCCCUCCACUGGCCUGCUGGCUCCUGACGCCUGCCCUGGCCAUCAGUCGCUGGUGUGUUUUGUUGCUAAGGCAUACAGGGUGGUGUAUCACAGUGCUCUGAAAUGUAUCAUUAGAUUAAAUGUUCAGUGAUGAGCCAGCUGAGUUCUACUUUGUAUAUGGGUGUUAAAUAUGUUCUUAAAUCAUUGAAAGUAAAUUGAGUGCAGAUAGCAAAAUCCCCUCACACACACACACACACACACACACACACACACACACACACACACUUGUCUGUUUCCUCAGGAAAUCAUUUAAACUCCAACAUCACAUGUGACCUUAACAUGAAAACAGAAGUUUUCUCUGCCUUGAUAUUAAAUACACCAAGUAAAUAAACUGAGAUGCGUAGAUUAGGAAAUCACGUAAUUGUACCGUGAUCUGCAUAUCUUGCAUUCCUGCAGGCAGGGAUUGGACCAUUCAGGCUUUCUUCAGGAACAGCUGUGUGGGCUGUGGCUCUCACACCCAGUGUUCCUGUUGUCAUUUACUCCCAUCCAAGAGCACAUUUGGAGAAAGAACUGAAGUGUGCCUGUGAGAUGUGUGUGUCAUUUUAGCCAGUGACUCACACUCACUGUUUAGUUCCAGCUCUCAACUUGUGCCAGACACAUUUUUCCCAAGUGAAAGAGCAUCAGGUCACAGACAGCAGCUCCACCCAAGCCCUCACGUUGGAGUGCAGCCACAGCUAGCAACUGUCAUGGUGUAUGAAAUGGUGCAGAUACAGAUUUCUUGACUGUUUAAUUUGAAAGUUUACAUUUUUUAUGAUUGCGUUAGUGUGUAAUUUUUGUACCAUCAGUGGCUAGUUUUUGUCUAAGAUCUUUUUUGGAAUAUUGCUUAAUGUUUUGAUUUUAUGAUAGUGAAGCUUGUAUUCAGUGUUUUGCCAAUUAAUAUUAUAUGCUUGUAAUAAAAGCAGAAGAAGAGCCUAACUAAAAUCUCCCAGUCUGGCAAUGUUUUACCUAAAGUAUUUGUAAGGGUUUGACAGAUAAUGUGUUACAGAAUGUGAUCAGGCUUCUCCAUCUCACAGGCUCAGCCAUCCAGGGAUAGAAAUUACUCAGGAAAACCAAACAAACAAACAACCCCUCCCCAAAACCCAUUUUUUUUUCUGUUCUCAUUCCCUAACUAUAGUAUAACAAUUGUUUAUAUAGCACUUGCUUUGUUUUGUUUGGUUUCGG